rnacentral:rRNA from 1 species
AAUGAACGCUGGCGGCAGGCUUAACACAUGCAAGUCGAACGAGUGGCGGACGGGUGAGUAAUGCUUGGGAAUCUAGCUUAUGGAGGGAGAUAACUACGGGAAACUGUAGCUAAUACCGCCUUCCAUAGGAUGGGCCCACGUGGGAUUAGGUAGUUGGUGAGGUAAAGGCUCACCAAGCCUACGAUCGCUAGCUGGCCUGCGAGGAUGACCAGCCACACUGGGACGGAGACACGGCCCGGACUCCUACGGGAGGCAGCAGUGGGGAAUAUUGCGCAAUGGGGGCAACCUGACGCAGCCAUGCCGCGUGAAUGAAAAAGGCCUGCGGGUUGUAGAGUUCUUUCGGUAGCGAGGCGUUAACUACAGAAGAAGCACCGGCUAACUCCGUGCCAGCAGCCGCGGUAAUUC